rnacentral:tRNA from 1 species
UCCGUCGUCGUCUAGUCCGGUUAGGAUAUCUGGCUUUCACCCAGGCGACCCGGGUUCAAAUCCCGGCGACGGAA